rnacentral:rRNA from 1 species
AUGGAUUUUAUAUCAGGCCUUCCUACAUCCUUCCAAUAUAAUUGCAUACUGGUGGUGAUUGACAAGUUCUCUAAAUAUGGCCAUUUCAUUUCUCUCUCACAUCCCUUUAAUGCACAGAAAGUGGCUGAAGUUUUCAUAGAUAAUGUGUAUAAGUUGCAUGGUAUGCCCAGGCUGAUAAUAUGUGACAGGGACCCUAUUUUCACUAGUUCCUUCUGGCAACUGCUCAUAUCAAGGACUGAAGCAGAACUCAGUAUGAGUACAACAUAUCACCCUGAGACUGACGGCCAAACUGAAAGAGCAAACCAGCAAAUUGAGUGCUUCUUGAGGUGUUUCAUCAGUGCUCAUCCUACUAAGUGGAGCAAAUGGCUGUCACUUUGUGAAUUCUGGUACAAUACCAACUGGCAUUCUGCACUGAAUAAAUCACCCUUUGAGAUCAUUGAUGGACAGACUCCACGGUUCUUUGGAAUAUCUGCUUCUGAUACGAUUGCCCUCGUAGAUAUCCAAUCCUGGCUGGACUCACGACAGUUGAUGAUUGCUUCAGUUCGAUAG